rnacentral:rRNA from 1 species
GAUGAACGCUGGCGGCGUGCCUAAUACAUGCAAGUCGAGCGAACAGACGAUGAGCUUGCUCCUCUGACGUUAGCGGCGGACGGGUGAGUAACACGUGGAUAACCUACCUAUAAGACUGGGAUAACUUCGGGAAACCGGAGCUAAUACCGGAUAAUAUAUUGAACCGCAUGGUUCAAUAGUGAAAGACGGUUUUGCUGUCACUUCUAGAUGGAUCCGCGCCGCAUUAGCUAGUUGGUAAGGUAACGGCUUACCAAGGCAACGAUGCGUAGCCGACCUGAGAGGGGGAUCGGCCACACUGGAACUGAGACACGGUCCAGACUCCUACGGGAGGCAGCAGUAGGGAAUCGUCCGCAAUGGGCGAAAGCUUGACGGAGCAACGCCGCGUGAGUGAUGAAGGUCUUCGGAUCGUAAAACUCUGUUAUUAGGGAAAAACAAAUGUGUAAGUAACUAUGCACGUCUUGACGGUACCUAAUCAGAAAGCCACGGCUAACUACGUG